CGGAAGUAACAUCAGCUUUCAAACGACCAUAAACACGAACACGAUCACCUUCUAGUCGACACGCAGGAUAUUCGAAAAGGACGGCUACACCUCCUGACCCUUCACAAGGAUAUAUCGAUCUUGCAUGAACCGAUUUUAUUAUAUGAUGUGAAUAUUUGGAUUGGAAUAAAAUACACCUUCGUGCUAAUUACCUUAAAGUACACGCUAGUAUUUGGUGCUGUGGGAUUGGUAUUCGAAGCUUUUAAUCUUACAGCAUAAUUACCAGGUAAUCCGAGCAAUUCA